UACGGGGGGGGCAAGCGUUGUUCGGAAUUACUGGGCGUAAAGGGGACGUAGGCGGCUUGUCGCGUCGAAUGUGAAAUUUUAGGGCUCAACCCUGACAUUGCAUUCGAUACGGGCAGGCUUGAGUUCGGUAGGGGAGACUGGAAUUCCUGGUGUAGCGGUGAAAUGCGCAGAUAUCAGGAGGAACACCGGUGGCGAAGGCGGCAUCCUGGACCGGUAUUGACGCUGAUGCGCGAAAGCCAGGGGAGCAAACGGG
rnacentral:rRNA from 1 species